CCCGGCACGCUCGCCGCUACCCGCGAGCCCCGCUGCGGCCGUCCGCGGGCCGCGCUGUUCCUGCUGCGUCCUGGGCUCCGCGCCCCUCGGGAGCACUCCUGGCUCCGGGGGGAUCGGAUGAGUCUGCGAGGCUGAGGCGAGGGCCGGCCACACGGGCCACUCAGAAACGCCCUUCCCCCCAACUCGGGUCCCUAGGUCUGCUGGAGGAGGCUCCCGAGGCUGCCGGCUCCCCUUCUGCCGCCCCCGCCCACAGGAAUACUCACCCGAGCUUCACGUAGAGGACGCCAAAGCAGAGAAACACGUGACUCGCGGCCCCGGCAAGCGAGCUGCGAGCAGGCGAGCGCGCCCCAGGGUUGUCUGAUGCGGGUCUCGGAUCCGAUUCAUGUUGAUCAGCCGGAGUGGGAAGUUAGACUAGCUUCGGUGCCUGGCACAUCCUGUGUGGGUCUGGCUUGAUUCUCUCCUGGACAGGUGGGUGCCAGGGACCCUGCCUGCCAAAGCUAGGUCUGUCCUAUCUCAGCGGACCAGCUAGUAAUCAGAUACCUGCUGGGGGGCCCAAACCAGGUUUCCAAGUGUCUUCAGUCCGGGACAGCAUCAAAUGGAGCCAUUAUGAUAAGGGAAAAGACUCGGCAGAGAGCGCUCAGUCUUUAAGGACUAGCCAGUACCCAGUUGCCUGGUGUGGAAAUGAGGGGUAUGAGGGGGUUCUGUCCUCAGGCCUACAUAGCCCAGCUCGGCCAGGAACCUCGAGCUCAGAAGCUAUCUUCCCAGCCCCUAAUCCCCUUUUAAUCUCUCCAAAUCCUCCGAACUGUUGCCAUGACCUGGGAAGAGCCACUCCUGGGCCCCAGGUUCAGAGGCCAGCAGGUGCAGCUGUGCAGAACGUUUUGGGUUGGAAGACCCUGUAGAAAGGAGACUUUGGACAUCACGAGCAGGGAAACUGAGGCACAGACAUAAAACAGCAGUAUCAGUCCCACCCCGCAGUCUCCUGAAACCAAGAACUCUGGACGUCGCACAACUUCGUGGGCAGGGAGCUGAGCUGGGCCCGAUGGCGGGAGCGAGCACAACUACCCGGGAUCUUAGCAGGCGGAUGCUGCCACCCCGUGGCGACAGGGAGCGACGCUUGCAGCCGGAGCUGGACUUGAUGUGCUUAGGGGUUCCCCACCAUGCCCGGGAAUGUGGGGAUCACUCCACCCAUCGCCGCCAACAGCCUCAGUCUUGGAGUCGGUUAGCGAGACAAAAAAAAAGAUUUGUGUGGCUGCAGCGGCGGAGGGGGAGGGGGAGCUGGAAUAGCGAGAUCAUCCCCACGUGCGUCCUCCAUUUGGGGCUUUGGGAUUCCCACCCCACCUCCAGCCGAGUCAGAUCCGGAGGCCUAAGGGUUGGUCUGGGAUUCUCCAAGAGGGAUGUGGCCGGGAAAAGUGGGUGCUUCUGUUGGUUGAUGGGAUCCGACCUGCUUUUAUGCCUUAGUUUCCCUAUAACAUAAUGCAGGGUUGCUAAACAUAGCGCGGAGAGUCUGCAGCACAGCGUUGUGCUGCCCCCUGUCGGCAGCAGGUGGGAAGCGACAUCACCUAGGCUUUCUAGGGGGCCUGUAACCACCCACCAUUUGACCUUGCUGUUUAAAAAAGAGAUGGUUAAGGUUUGGUUCCAAGAUCCCCGCCACAACUAUUUGUGGGACAAAGUGGAGACUAACUUUUGUGGUGGGGGGGAGCUUCUCUCCAUAGGGUUAGGUUGGGAUUGUUAUGAAGAAGACCUAAGUCUCCAGAGCCAGGACAGCUCGAGGGCCUGGUUAUCUGUGGGUUCAGCCAGGCUGAGCUAUCCUUGCCUGUAUGACUUCAGGCAAAAUUUUCAACAUCUUCAGCCUGGAAAUACUCCUCCUCCUCUUCUUCCUCCUCCUCCUCUUCAUUCCUAUGCUCCAUGGUGUUAUUCUGAUGUGUCCACCUCCAAAUGAGUAAACAGUAAUGGGUGGAUGCAUGUCUGGAUGAAUGGGUAUGUGGGUAGAUGAUGCAUGAGUAGAUGUAUGCAUACAUGAAUGCAUGGAUGGAUGGAUUGAGAGGUAGGUGCAUGGAUGGGUACAUGGAUGCAUGGGUAGGUGGAUAGGAGUGAUGGACGAUGCUUGCAUUCAUAAAUGGAUGGUGUCUUAUGUGGGGUUUCUAUUGUUGUGAUAAAACACCAUAACCAAAAAUCAUCUUGGCGAAGUUUAUUUCAGCUUACAGUAGCACAUCACAGUCAAUCAUGGAAGGAAAUCAGGGCAGGAAUUCAAGGCAGGAAAGAGGUAGGAACUGAAGCAGAAGGGUGCUUGCUCCCCUUGGCUUGCUCCGCCUGCUUUCUUAUAGCACCCAGGACCACCAGCCCAGGAGUGUACAGGCACUGCCCUUGGUGAGCUGGGUCCUCCAAUAGCAAUCAUCCACCAAGAAAAGCCUCCACCAGCUUGCCCACAGGCCAGUCUGGGGGGGGGCAUUUUCUCCAUUGAAGUUCCCUCUUCCAAAAUGACUCUAACUUGUGUCAAGCUAGCAUAAAUAAGCCAGCACAGGUGGACCCUUUUCAGCUUGACACAAAAACACAUCACUGUUUGGCUAGAAUUUUCCCUUUCUCGUGUCCCUAAGGUGGCAUCAUAUUAACACCACAAUAUAAAACACUCCAACUUUGUUUUUGUAUCUGUUUGAGACAGAGUCUCUUUAUGUAGCCCUGGCUGGUCUUGAUCUCACAGAGAUCUACCUGCCUCUACAUUCUGAGUGUUGGGAUUAAAGGUGUGCACCACCAUGGCUGGUAAACAUUCUAAUUCUGAAAGGUUCCACGGUCCUUAAAAAUUCAAACACGUUACAAGUUCAGUCUCUUUAGACUAUCCAAGAUUUCUUUAAAAGUUCAAAGUCUCUCUAAAAUAUGCAAAGUAUCUCUAAAAUUCCAAAGUUUCUCUAAAAUAUCCAAUAACUGAAGGCUUCUGUAAAAUCAAAAAACCAAGCUAAAUACUUACUCCAAGAGGGGAGAGUCAGGGCAC